GACAGAGGGUGCAAGCGUUGUUCGGAAUUACUGGGCGUAAAGCGUGUGUAGGCGGUUUGGCAAGUCGGAUGUGAAAGCCCCGGGCUCAACUCGGGAAGUGCACUCGAUACUGCUAAACUUGAGUGUCGGAGAGGUUGGUGGAAUUCUCGGUGUAGAGGUGAAAUUCGCAGAUAUCGAGAGGAACACCGGUGGCGAAGGCGGCCAACUGGACGAACACUGACGCUGAGACACGAAAGCGUGGGGAGCAAACAGG
rnacentral:rRNA from 1 species